rnacentral:lncRNA from 7 species
AAUCCAGGCCGUUCUAUGAUUCUAUGAAGUUGUGAAAUCUGCUGCUGGAAUUUUUGAGAUGUGAGAGGAGCUGAUUGCGAUACAGCCAGUUCAAGUAAAAACAGUGCUCUCAAGGCUCCAAAGCCUGUGGACUACAGAUUUUAAUCUGUAAAACUGACAAAAUGUAACCUUGGAUGCACCUGAAGAAUAAUUUGGCCCGAUCUGGAGAGAAUCCUCAGGACACGUGGCAAGAGUAACACUUUGUAUUUACAAUGACUUUCUGCCGGUGUAGCUCUUAGUGGUGCAUUUUACAAGUGGGGAAAUGGAAAUAGAGUGGAAAAGUAAUGCUGCAAAGCAUUGAGACAACAACGGCCAUCUUUAUUAUGAAUAUCUUUUCCUGGUAAUAACAGCAGAGGUGAGAAAAUGCAAUCAUAAAAAAGAAUAAACCUGACCAGCAGGUGGAUCAAGUUUUUUCUUCUAGAAUAUUUUCCACUGUUACUACUAUUAAGCAAUCAAGAGCCACUGAUGGCCAUGGAAGAGACUAUAUUAUAAGAAAAAUGCAGGAUUUAAGAAUGUAAGGGGCUAUUUGUACUAAACAGAUUAAGCUGCUAGUAAACAUGUCCCCUUAAAAUUAAGUGGUGGUGAAGACAAAGGAAGUGCUUUGUUGUUGUCAGCUGGAUUUGUCUUAAGUCGAAUGGGCAAACAAGUUAAACAUCAGUCCUCUUUAAAUCCCUAAUGGCUGUGCAGAUUAAAUCUGAAAAGGUCUGUAAAAUGAGUCAAAAAUUAAAUUGCUUUACUUGUUUCCCGUUUACUUUGGCUAAAGCAUUUCUCUUCUUCCUUUUCUUUUUUCUUCUCUUUUCUUCCCCUCUGAUCCAGCUUUACAGAACUUUGUUUUCAACCUGCAUUAGCAUACAAAUAUUAAACAAGAAUUUCACUUCU